AAACAGGUCGACUGCAGGAAGCACAGAGACAAACCCUCACGUGAGCUUGGAUUGGACUAACACCUCAUUAGCAAAGAGCUGCCUCACUCAGGGUAGGUUCAGGACGGAGAAGGAGAGUCUGAUGCCUGAGCAGAAAAGGCAGCCUCCUCGCCAGCUUCCACCAGAAAUCCAGCAACCCCAGACCUAUCGUGGUUGUUCGUGUUACUGAAGGUCUGCGGAGUCAUGGCGGGGGAGUCCCCAUCAGAGAGUCUCUUUCCAUGUCUGUGUGCUUAGCAGCUCCAUCUCUGGUCUUUCUUGUCCCUCUUCAUCUACAGAGAAACCUCAUCUUGAAAUCUGGAUACCCAAGGACUUCAUUCUAUCCUACAACGAACUCAUCAGACAAGUUUCUCAUCAAAAGAACCCCACCACCACUACUAGAAAAGAAGUUACGUCAGCUGCUAAGAAGGCACUAUUCUCUCUAAAUCAUUUCCUUCUCAUGUAUUUAUUUAUUGUCUUUCCUAUCUCUCUCCAGAGAGGAUCUGAAGAAACUUACAGAAAAGUAGUGAUGUGCUAUAAUUCAGCUAUGAGGAAGGGAGGGAGAAAAUACCCUGACCCCGUGAUGAUUAGAACUGUUGAGAUUCCAUAGGAACUCCAGCCAGGAGCUCCAGGUAGCCACAACAGAAGGGAAAGCACUAUUCUGGAGUAGCUAUUUAUUUCAUAUUGUCAUAAUGAUAAAACAUCCUGACACCCCAGAGGAGAAAAACUUCAAGGCAGCUUUCAAACCAUCACCUUGGAAGGCCAAAUUCUUGGAUAAGAAGUCUCAUUUCGUCUCUUCCAUACUCAUGUGACUUCAGACAGUUUUCCAUUGUCUUUAUUCUUUACUUAAGGAAAGAACAGAUAUUGGACUGGGAGUCAAGAAUUACUGAUGUGAUGAUGAACCCUGAGCCAACUGGCAAACAGCUUCACCUUUCCAGUGAAACAGGAGGCAAGAACCAAAUACAGAGCUUUCCAUCGCCAAUGUCAUAUGGUUUUUAAGAUAAAUAUCAUUGGUUUUCAAAGACUACUACACAUGGUUAAACUCUUUUCUAUGUGGAGAGACAGGACUAACACCCUCUUAUAAAUUCACGCCUAAGCUUAUAUAGUAGGAAGAUAUGUUUUUGGAGAUAUCAUAUGACUCAACAGCCUAUGGUUCUGUGUAACAAUAAGCUACACAUGACAAGGAGUGUUCCACCACAUUUCUCAGAAGUAGAAGAAAUACACAAUUUAGAAAACCAUACGUGAAGCAUUUAUUGGCCUCCUUCAGUUGAUCCUCUUUGGGCUUAUAAAGCUCUACAUCAAUUGCCAUUCUUUAAAAUAAAGCGUACAAUUUAAAA
rnacentral:lncRNA from 1 species